rnacentral:tRNA from 1 species
UUUAGGAAAGUUUGAUAAACGCCAGAUUUUGAUACUGGAGUGUGUAAUUAAAUUUACAUCCUAAAA